GAGUUUGAUCCUGGCUCAGGAUGAACGCUGGCGGCGUGCUUAAUACAUGCAAGUCGAACGGGGAAUGUAGCAAUACGUUCCUAGUGGCGAAUGGGUGCGUAACACGUGGGUGACCUACCCCGAAGUGUGGAAUAACAGAUCGAAAGAUCUGCUAAUACCGCAUGUGGUCUCAAGGGUUAGAGGCCUUGAGUCUAAAGCAGCAAUGCGCUUCGGGAGGGGCCUGCGGUCCAUCAGCUAGUUGGUAGGGUAAUGGCCUACCAAGGCGACGACGGAUAGGGGACCUGAGAGGGUGACCCCCCACACUGGCACUGACACACGGGCCAGACGCCUACGGGUGGCAGCAGUAAGGAAUAUUGGGCAAUGGGCGAAAGCCUGACCCAGCAACGCCGCGUGCGCGAUGAAGGCCUUCGGGUUGUAAAGCGCUUUUCGGGGAGAUGAGGAAGGACAGUAUCCCCGGAAUAAGGUACGGCUAACUACGUGCCAGCAGCCGCGGUAAAACGUAGGUACCGAGCGCUAUCCGGAUUCACUGGGCGUAAAGCGCGUGCAGGUGGUUUGGUAAGUCGGGCAUGAAAACUCUUGGCUCAACUGAGAGACGCUGUCCGAUAUUGCCGGACUUGAGGGCAUAAGAGGGAGGUGGAAUUCCGCAUGUAGUGGUGAAAUGCGUAGAUAUGCGGAGGAACACCAGUGGCGAAGGCGGCCUCCUGGUAUGCUCCUGACACUCAGACGCGAAAGCUAGGGGAGCGAACGGGAUUAGAAACCCCGGUAGUCCUAGCCGUAAACGAUGAUUACUAGGUGUUAGU
rnacentral:rRNA from 1 species